rnacentral:rRNA from 1 species
GACAGAGGGUGCAAACGUUGUUCGGAAUCACUGGGCGUAAAGGGAGCGUAGGCGGCGCGGUAAGUCAGAUGUGAAAUCCCGGGGCUCAACCCCGGAACUGCAUCCGAUACUGCCGUGCUAGAGGAUUGGAGAGGUAGCUGGAAUUCUUGGUGUAGCAGUGAAAUGCGUGGAGAUCAAGAGGAACACUCGUGGCGAAAGCGAGCUACUGGACAAUAUCUGACGCUGAGGCUCGAAGGCCAGGGUAGCGAAAGGG